GUGUUUCCUUUGGCAGCACAUUUACAAACACUGGAAUGUUACAGAGAUCAGUGUGGCCUCUGAGCAAGGAUGACAUGCAAAUUCUUGAAGUGUUUCAGAUUAAA
ensembl:snRNA U6 U6 spliceosomal RNA